UUCAUGAAAAACUCUGUCACUAGAUUUGAGGACUCAGGCUGGGAAUUAAUGAAUUAGUGCCAUUCCUCACUCCAUUGGUGACGAAAGUCAUGCCAGUAUCAUAUGAGGGCUGUUCCAGGAUGCACAGCUAAAGAGGUUGCACUGGAGAGAGAACCAAUAUAAAAGGGAAAUUGACUUGAGAAAGCACAAUCUGACCUCUCCUUGGCACUUCUUCCUCAGCAUCCCACCUUUAAUGUUUGUGGUCACCCUUGUCCUUUCCAACCCCAGCUCUUCCAGGCUCCCUGUGCUGGGCAAAGGUUUUAAUGAAUUGCCAGAUAUUGAAGAUGCUCAACCCAGUGCUCUCACUCUGUCUCACUCUUGAUAUUCACACCUAUGUUUCCUGUUCUCUAUUCAAUACCACACACUCAUAGACCUUUAGGUCUUCACUUGACCUACAUGUUUAUCAAUAACACCAUCCUUCCUCUUUUCAAGGCUUCUUCAAGGAGCAACCCAAAUCUCAUCUUCUGUGAAACAUCUCUUGAGUUCCAUCCCCAAUCACGUCCAGCCCCUGUCCUAUUGGGCACAAGGAGAGAAAAAUUCAACAGAGACAUAUCUGUAGAACAAUUACUAGAUGCUGCAGAGAAUACAGGAGUAGGACACAACUUCUUACACUGUCAACUGUUUAAUAAGUUUUGGCUGAACACAUGAAUGAAGGAAGAAAGGAAUUAAAAGCUUUUAGAUGAGGAAACUAAACUCCAGAAAUUUUUUACAACGUGCCCAAGGCUACUCAGAUAGAGAAGAAGAGCCUUCAUGUGAAACUUACAACGAUUCCAGAAACAUCCAAUUCAGUGUUCUUUCUACUAACCAGUACUUUUAGAAGGCACACGAACACUCGCUAAAAAUAUAGAUUUCUUGAUCCCUACUGCAAACUUGGGGUGAGGGCCAAAGAAUCUACAUUUUUACAGUCUAGAAGAUUCUGAUGUCUAGAAGGUUGUGAUGUAGCUGUUCUAAGAACAUAUUUUGAGAAGUACUGUUCUAUACCAACUCUCAUCAUAAAUAUAUGGUCAUCUUCCUCAUUGCUUUGGCUGGUACAGUAGAUUUCUCAUUAGUGGGAUUUCCUAACCGUUCAGCUUUAAAAAUAUCUAAUGGAGACUGAAGUUGGAGUGAGUGGAGAGGGGGUGUGUGUGUGUGUGCGCCUGUGUGCAUACAUAAGCGGAGGUGAAAGCUAAAGAUGAAGAAUGGUUUUGGUAGAACCUUUGGUAGAACAAAUAAGCCAAGAGCAUCACAGAAAAUAAAUCAAAUUGGUCUAAGACCCAGACAUUUUUAUACAAUCCACCCUCUACAUCCACAGAUUCUGCAUCCUUGGAUUCAACCAACCAUCAACCAAACUCCACAGAUGCAGAACCCGGGGAUAUGGUGAGCAUUCAUGAAUUUUUGUAUCUGCCAAGGGUUCUGGCCCCAAUUCCCUGCAGAUAAGGAGGAACAACUGUAUGUUAGAACUACUUUUACAUAUGUAUUUUUUUGGAAUGUAGGUGAGUGGGUACGUUGGGAGCCAAAGAAAGAUUACGUAAAAGUUGAGGCCACUGCCAACUUCUACCAUAGAGAACAAGAUGACUGCUAAGAUCCCCUUAUUCUAAUGAUGCCAUCUGCCCUCACUUUUUCAUUGCCACCCUUACUGGUACAUCAGUCACAUCCUAUUUGUACAGUACCUAUGUGGUAUGAUCAACCCUCAGUAUCACUUUCGACCUGAUCCUGUCCUAUGCUCCCUGUGACCUCCACUCAGCACUCAUCCUCAUCAGACAUGAAAGAGUCAGCUCAUAGAUAACUUGUUUCCCAGAGAGUCAUGAGACUUUAGGUCAAAUGCCAUGAUAAUCACAUUAACAGUGAGGUGCAGAAUGAGUUUCCUAUCAUAGACAGCUGGUAUGGACAAGCAACUUCUCCACCAGGGGUUGGCUUGAGCUAACAAAAAUAUGAGACAACCGUUCCUCUUCAAUGCUGGUAUUUCUGGAUCUCAAACCCCAACUGUCCUAUGCACUUUGGCAGCAGUUGUGCCAUUAUAAGUUGUAAGUGGAUCCAAAUAUGUAGCAACCCUGAAACUGUAACCAAGAGUUUGUUGGUUCAGAAAUUCAAGUCAUCCCAACGUCUCAUUGUGAGUCUUUUCCCGUGAAUUUAAAUAAUAGAAUCACUUAAUUUUUUGCUUUAAUUAUAUACAUUUUCCCCAUGAGUUACUUAUCAGCCUGAAUGCACAUUCACCUUUUUAAUAUACUAUUCUUUUUUAAAAAAUUUAAAAAACUUUUUUUUGGUAGGGGGAGCUAUUUGAUUUUUUUUAACGGAGGUACUGAUGGUUGAACCCAGGACCCCGUGCGUGCUAAGCACACACUCUACCACUCCUUUAGAUCCUACUCUUGAUGAAACUGGCUGAGGUACUUUGAUGCAUCUGCCUUUUGCACAGAGUAUUGAUGGCAUCUGCAGGAUCCUUGCCUAAAUUCUCUCUACAAAGGUGAAACAGAUGGCUCCUGACUUUGGAUACCCACUGCAGCCAUAACAUUGUCCAUCUGCAACCCUGGAAUGCUUCUUUGCUUUUACUUGUCUCACACAGCAGUAGGGCAUUCGGGAUAUGAAAUAUCUAAAUUUGACACUCCAGAUAGUCAGCAAACUUCCAGACUUUCUCAUGCUCCAUAAAUCCACCGAUUCUGAGUUUAUUUACAAUAAGCAAUCCUAAAUCAGGAAUAUCUUGCUAAUAGCAUUCCAUAGAUAAGGUCUCCCUUCCCUGCAAAUAGCACUAGUUUGUUAAACAGGAGGUCUGGCUUUCAGCAGUUUUCCAAGGAUAUUAUACUGAAUCACCUGCUUCUGGCCCCUCCCUACAACAUGGGCAUGAAUGGAUCAUAGGUCAGCUGCUUUAACUCCUUCCUUUCUAGUGCUAAGAAAUAAUUUAACUGAAAGCACUUUGAACACCAUCAUAACACUAUUAGAACUGUGACCCAGUUACAAAUUAAAUUAUUAAAUUAAUUCAGCUAUUCCAUGGGAAUGAUUAAAAUCAACUUGACAUCCAGAGUAUAGACCAAGUAAGACAACCACCUCUCUGCCUACUAGAUAAUCCACUGUGCUUCUGGUUUCUGUAACUCCAUAGUUACAUUGAUUCACUUUUUCUUUUUAGUUUCCUGGAAAGAAAUAUUCUGAGAGAGUGCUUCUUAAAAAAUAGAGGAGGCUAAGUGCUUUCUAAGUUUGCUGAUGAUUAAAUGUAAUUAGAUCAUCAGCUUCUGAGAGGAGAGGAUUACAGAUAAAUAAUAGUAACCAUGUCAGAGUAGUUAGACACUGUUACAAUGAGAAACAGGAACACAAGGCGUAGGUAGGCAGCCACAUGGCAUGAGCGUAAAAGAUCUCAGAAUCAUAGUGCAAGUCAGUUUCACAAAGUAAAAUGAGAAAAAAAAAGAGAAUAUGAAAAAAGCAUCCAAAAAUUCCAUGAGAGUUUGCCUAAUUCUAAGAUGAUUAGAAGUGGUGAUUCUAAGCAGAUAAGCAGCAGAUUCUUCUCUGGUGAAGACCGGUAUAAAAUGAGGAGCAAUAUCAACAUUGACAAGGUGGUAAAAUUAGAUCCAUGAGAAACUAGGAGUGCUAAAAAUAUCUAAAGAAAGGUUUAAUGAUUUCCAAGAUAAUAAUAUAUGGCAUGAUUAUUAGAAUUUACCCAUCUCCAGAGAGAAUGGAGCUUACAAAGGGUCAGGAGGCAUUUAAAGAACAACCGGUGAUGAAUUCAUUCUUAACAGGAAAUGUGGUUAUAUACUAGAAUGAUCCACAGGAAGACCUCAGAGAUACUGUGUGUUUGGUUCAAGACUACUGUAAUAAAGCCAAUGUCACAAUGAAGCAGGGCAUGCAAAAUUUCUGGUUUCCCAGUGCAUAUAAAAGUUAUGUUUAUACUACACUGUAGUCUAUUAAGUGAGCAACAGUAUUAUAUCUAAAAAAAAUG